GCUCACUUGGGCAGCAUAUACUAAAAAUAGAACAAUACAGAGAAGAUUAGCAUGACUUCUACACAAGGAUGACUUAAAAUCAUCAAGCCCAACCUCUCCCA
rfam:Dipodomys ordii contig_52425, whole genome shotgun sequence.